CUGAUAGCACUGAAGACUAAACUUCUUUCUUUAUCUAUAGAGCAGAUACACACAGCACACACAGCAGGAGUAUUAACCUCCCCACACUGCUAUUUGUUAUGUACUGGCUUGGAGUGACCAUUUCUAGGGUUGGCUUCAAACUUCAUAUCCAUUCAGUCCUUUGCCUUU
rnacentral:sRNA from 1 species